rnacentral:rRNA from 1 species
UUAGAAUGACUGCUAAUACCGCAUUAUGCCUAAGCAACACAUGUUGCAAUAGGGAAAGGAGUAAUCCGCUGAUAGAUGGGCUUGCGUCUGAUUAGAUAGUUGGUGAGGUAACGGCUCACCAAGUCGACGAUCAGUAGCCGGACUGAGAGGUUGAACGGCCACAUUGGGACUGAGACACGGCCCAGACUCCUACGGGAGGCAGCAGUGGGGAAUAUUUGCACAAUGGAGGAAACUCUGAUGCAGCGAUGCCGCGUGAGGGAAGAAGGUUUUCGGAUUGUAAACUUUUGUUCUUAGUGAAGAAACAUGACGGUAGCUAAGGAGAAAGCCACGGCUAACUACGUG